rnacentral:rRNA from 1 species
GGGAACCGCGGAAUGGCUCAUUAAAUCAGUUAUGGUUCCUUAGAUUGUACCUCUCUACUUGGAUAACUGUGGUAGUUCCAGAGCUAAUACAUGCAGCAGAGCUCCGACCCCCCGGGGGACGAGCGCUUUUAUUAAACCAAGACCAGCGCGGGCCGCCUCCUCGGAGCGGUCCGCCGAAACGUGGCGACUCUGUAUGACUUUGGACUG